GAUGAACGCUGGCGGCGUGCCUCAUACAUGCAAGUCGAACGGGUCUGAUUGAGUAGCAAUAUUUAGUCAGGCUAGUGGCGAACGGGUGAGUAACACGUAGCUAACCUGCCCCCUAGUCUGGGAUAACGGUUCGAAAGGAACGCUAAUACCGCAUAUUCUGUGAGCAGGAAAGCAGGGGAUCGCAAGACCUUGCGCUGAUUGAGCGGCCGAUAUCAGAUUAGCUAGUUGGUGAGGUAAAGGCUCACCAAGGCGACGAUCUGUAGCGGGUCUGAGAGGAUGAUCCGCCACACUGGAACUGAGACACGGUCCAGACUCCUACGGGAGGCAGCAGUGGGGAAUUUUGGACAAUGGGGGCAACCCUGACGCAGCCAUGCCGCGUGAACGAUGAAGGCCUUAGGGUUGUAAAGUUCUUUUACCCGUGACGAUGAUGACGGUAACGGGGGAAUAAGCUCCGGCUAACUUCGUGCCAGCAGCCGCGGUAAAUCUCGCG
rnacentral:rRNA from 1 species